ensembl:lncRNA
AGCACGUCUUUAGCACAACAGAAGGUUCGGUUGGCAGGAGUCUGAAGACUGGACGAGAUGGUGUCACUUGAGCUCUAUGGAGAUUUAAUAAGAGACAUGAUUGAUCAAAACCUCUCGCACGCGGACAUUUCCACGAAUUUAUCACAAUUAGGUGUGCAGCGAUGUUCUGAAAUGAGUGUCAGGAGAUUUUGUGCACAACAUUGUGCAACAUUUCCAGGAGGGGACAUGUAUCCGACACACAAUUAGAAGUUGCUAUCAGCAGGGCAAUAAAUCAGACAGGGUCAACAUAUGGUUGAAAGAUGAUGACCAGGUACCUGUCUGCGAUGGGAGUAGUUGCUGGUGAACGCCAGAUAGGGAGGAUUUUGAAAACAACGCAUUGUCCUUAUCACGAAAUGCACAAAUGUGGUGCACGUAACCUUAACCCCGUCCCCUACAGUGCUGCAUACAUGGGACACAAAAUCCACAUCGACCAGAAUGAAAAACUGGUCAUGUUCGGAGUGACGCACGUUUUUGCAGUAGAUGGGUACAGCAGUAAGGUCGUUGCCCAUGCAACCAUGCCUGUCAAGAAUAACCUCACGAUAUAUGAGGAAGUUUACAGAUCAGCAGUUCUUGAAGAUGGGAUGUGGGACCAGGUCAGGGUGGACCAUGGCCGUGAGUUUUACUUGUCCCUCUACAUGCAGGAGAUGCUGUCUAACCACAGACACAACUUGCAAAGGUAACCAUAUCGCCAAACUCAGUCAACAAAGAAUCAUACAGUAGAGCGAAUGUGGGUAGAGAUAAAUAACAGGGUAAAUUAUUCAGUGAAGGAGGCCCUCAUGCAGCUGCAGGAUCAGGAAGUCCUCAACAUGGACGACAACGUGACUAGAUGCUGCACAUCUAACCUUACUGCUGAGCUGUGCAAGAUUGGCAUAACAAGAGCUGUACAUGCAUCAAAUGCACACAGAAUCCCAGUGGUUCAUCAGAACCUCUGGGGAUGUCCUGUGGAUCCUGUGGAUCCUGUGGGUUGCAGGGUGGGUCCUACCUAGACCAGGCUGAUCCUGGACCAUCCCACAGAUGCUCCAUCAGAUGUGGAUGUGGGGAGUGUGGAACCCAGAUGUUCAGAGGGAGAUGAUGCCACAUCUGGUCCAGCUGAUGGAAGGUCUUGAAGUUCUCUGACUGGCCUCGACUGAAGAUGGUCGUCUCACUGGAUUUAAGGUUCAGAUGCUCAGUAACAAACUCCACCAAUGUGCCAACAGGGAAGCUUUAGGUUUAUUAAAUGUUGCUGUGAAGGUUUCACUGUUUUUCUUAGUGAAUGCAAUGUGCUCCAACUGAAAGUUGAAUUAGAACUUAGAAGUAAAUCCUUCCAUCUGUAAGGAUUUAGUUGCAUUAAUAACCUCAUAACAUUCUAAUUUUUAUUUCAGUCUUGGCUGGAACUAGAAUCUCUGUAUUGAUUCAGGUAAAAACUGAACAUCACAGCAUGUUGAAGCAAAACAACCAGAUGAAAACUGUGAUGGUGUUGGAUUGUCAGACCGUAAUGUUGCAGCUCAAAGCAGCUUUUCUAUCUCAGUUCAUUCUGACAUUCAGCUAUGAAUCAACACAGCAGAUGGUGAUCCAUGCUGUGGAAGUCUCACAUCUCCUGAUUUAAUGGAGCUGCUUUGCACUUUUUGCACUGUUUAUUCACCAACACUUUAUUUAAUAAAAGUCCCAUCUAGUUUUUAUGAGGAAUGUGAUGUUUUAAUUUCUCUGUGAAUAACUGCAGUCUAAUGCAACAGCUGGAAUUGUAACAUCUGUCCUGAUAUUGAUCAUGAAGUAUUGAUCAGAAUACUUAUGGUCAGCAGUCAUCCCUGAAGUUUUACAUUGAAAUCUUUACUUGUGUUGUGAACUUUGGUAAGAAGCAGAAACGUUAGCGUUGCCAUGGAUACAUGAGUAUUAAAUUCUGUCCAUGUUUCCAUUUUGGGAAAUGCAGUCCAGUUCCAGAAUGUGGAGGAAUUUAGUCUCACAAUCACAGACAACAAAUAUUAUCUGAAAGUCGGGUUAUUGUUGUUUAUCAGCACAAUACAAAAAGAUUAAUGUUAGAAAUAUUCCAGUUAAGACUCUAGAAUAUCAUGAUUUAUGUAAAUUUACCUCAAUAAUAUGAAUGUUCAGGUUAAGAUUGUACAGUGAUAUUUAUUAUGUAAGUUUAGCUGAUUAAGGUUUAUGACUCUGCACUAAAAUAUUAUUUAAAUUGACAUCAUUAUUAUAAUAUUUAGGGUCAGACCCUACAGUAUUGAGAUUAAGAAAUCAAACAUUCUAUAAAAUGUAAAUACACUGAACUCAUUUGGAUAUACUUAAGUGAGACUCUACAAUAUUAUUUGACACAAAUCUAAAUCAAAAUUUUAAUAAUUUUCACGCCAAACAUUUACUGGACUGAUUUAAUUAUUAAAAUCACUCCUUUCUAAUCCUCUGCUGUACGUUCAAACCUGAGGCCUUAAAUAGAAACACACAAGUAUCUGAUUGAAGGAACUUCUGCAGAGUCCUGGUUCCAGAACAUGAUGAUAGAAUUAUAGACAAACUUUAACAAAAGCUGCCUGAGAGUUUACAGGUUUUUAUGUUGGAUUUCUUCAGUAAUUUAAUGAGCGUUAUCAGCAAAAAUCAAGUGUUCAUUUGAUGAACUUCAUUUCCUAAAACAUCCUGAAUUGAAGCUCAUAUCUUUGGCAGCUGUAAAGUUUCUGCUCCUUCAAAGUUCACAACACAAUGAAUGAAUUCCUAAAACACUCUCAAUGCUGGAGAGCGUUUGAUGCUGAAGCAGUGAUCAGUUUUUCUGUUUCUUCUCUGGAGAUGCACAAUGAGGGACGUCUGCAGAGACUGAGAAAGAGUCUCACCACAUCCUGACAUGAGGAAAAAGACUUUAUUGAAGACUGCAAUGAGAAAAACUAUCAGACAGCAGACGGCUGCAUUCAAGGUGAGCUCUGAACAUUUAAUCUGGAACAGGAAUUCAAUAACGGCAGCAUGAGCUUCAUUUCAGUCUGUAGCUGCUGAAUUCAUGGAUGAAUCAUCUGGCACUAGAGAAGAACACCAUCAAACAUCCACGUCAGCUGAUGGAGGUCCAAGAGUCUCACCGAACAACCAACCUACAGAGUGAAGACCUCAAAUCUGAUUGGACGGCCUCCUAUUCAGCCACAUGUGUGAACAAAUGCCUCUAAGCUGAUUUGUUUUCUAAAAUAAAUCUAGUUUGAGUCCUAAUCUAUGCCUGUGUGUUUGCUUCUUUACACGGCUGUUAACAGUUUAGGCUGUUAGAUUGUUCCAGAUAAGACAAGUACAAGAUACUUCAGAGCCGUUCUACCAGGAGCCUGACAGGAAGAACUCCAACAGCUACUGAAUGUUCCUGUGGUCCCCUCAAGGCUACAGGAGGAGCCCUACGAGGACGAGCCGGUCCACCUGAUGGCGGCCAGUCGCUGCGGUUCAAAGCCAACACCGACUACGUAGACUUCUACUGGACCACACGGAGGCCUUCAAACCGGACCAACAAGUUCCCCGACUCCUCGACUCGUGGGUCUGAGGACGCUGCCGAGCCUCGGUCCAGCCGGCCUCCUGUCUGUGGGUGUUUGAUUGCUGAGAGGUUUGUGGAUGCAUGUGAACGUUCUGUGUUGAAACAGCAGCUUUUGACUCAGUAACGCCGGGAAAAACCAAGAGCGCCUUUAUUUGUGACUUCCACUAAAAAAACUGAUGAAAAUAAGUUUGCCAGGGUUCUGACUGAUAACAGAUUAUUAAAUAAUGAAAAUAAUCCUUUAAAUAUUCCUUUAAACAAUCCUUUUAGGUCUACAUUUCCUUUGCACUGACUUCUUGGUAUAUGUACAAGUAUUUUGGGUGGAAUAUACCAUUAAGCCCGAUGUUCAAGGGUUCUUCUGGGAAUAUACCAUUAAACCAACCUUUUAGGUAAAUGUUCCAGGAUGUUGGGUAGAAUAUACCAUCAGAUAAACCUUUUAGGUCUACAUUGGAAGAUUUUAGAGUAGAAUAUUACUCCAAACCAUCCUUUAGGUCUACAUUUAAGGUGGAAUACUCCUUUACUCCAAGAUUUUUUGGUCUACAUUUAAGGAUUUUAGGUGGAAUAUUCCUUUGAACGAACUUUUUAAGUUUAUGUUAAAGGAUGUUGGGUGGAAUAUACCAUCAGGCCAACCUCCAAGGUCUACAGUAGUGAAUUUUAGGUGGAAUAUACCAUUAAACUCACCUUUUAGGUCUACAUUGGAGCAUUUUAGGUGGAAUUUUCUUCCAAACUGUCUUUUAGUCUACAUUUAAGGAUGUUUAGGAUGGUAUAUUCUUCCAAACCAACUUCUCAGGUCUACAUUUCAGGUGGAAUAUUCCUCCAUAUUAACUUUUUUGGUCUACAUUGAAGGAUUUUUUCUAAACCACCCUUUCGGGUCUAUAUUUGAGGUUUUAGGUGGAAUAUUCCUUUUAACCAGCCCCUCAGGUCUCUUUGAGGAUUUUGGAUGGAAUACUCGGUUAAACCAACAUUUUAGGUGCAUGUACAAGGAUUUUUGGUGGAAUGUUCCUUUAAGGUGGAUGUUUGAGGAACUUGUAGGUGGAAUACUUCCUGAAACCAACCUUUUAGGUCAACAUUCAAAGAUUUAAGGUGGAAUAUUCCUUUAAACCAACCUAAAUUUCAUGUUUUGAUCAUUAUCAAGUGAGAAACCUUAAUCCAGACUCCUCAUAAUGACAUUUGAGAUUUAUGCUGCUGUUAUUUGUUUAGUCCAGAUGAAAUGACAGAAAUCC